UACGUAGGGACCAAGCGUUGUUCGGAAUUACUGGGCGUAAAGGGCGCGUAGGCGGCGAUCCUAGUCAGAUGUGAAAGUCCUGGGCUUAACCUGGGGACUGCAUUUGAUACUGGAUUGCUUGAAUGCAGGAGAGGAUAGCGGAAUUCCCAGUGUAGAGGUGAAAUUCGUAGAUAUUGGGAAGAACACCGGUGGCGAAGGCGGCUAUCUGGACUGUGAUUGACGCUGAGGCGCGAAAGCGUGGGGAGCAAACAGG
rnacentral:rRNA from 1 species